AGAGCGAACGCUGGCGGCAGGCCUAACACAUGCAAGUCGAACGGACCCUUCGGGGUUAGUGGCGGACGGGUGAGUAACACGUGGGAACGUGCCUUUAGGUUCGGAAUAGCUCCUGGAAACGGGUGGUAAUGCCGAAUGUGCCCUUCGGGGGAAAGAUUUAUCGCCUUUAGAGCGGCCCGCGUCUGAUUAGCUAGUUGGUGAGGUAAAGGCUCACCAAGGCUACGAUCAGUAGCUGGUCUGAGAGGAUGACCAGCCACAUUGGGACUGAGACACGGCCCAAACUCCUACGGGAGGCAGCAGUGGGGAAUCUUGCGCAACGGGCGAAAGCCUGACGCAGCCAUGCCGCGUGAAUGAUGAAGGUCUUAGGAUUAGUAAAAUUCUUUCAGUAGGACGAUAAUGACGGUACUACAGAAGAAGCCCGGACUAACUUCGUGCCAGCAGCCGC
rnacentral:rRNA from 1 species